rnacentral:rRNA from 1 species
ACGAAGGGGGCUAGCGUUGUUCGGAAUUACUGGGCGUAAAGAGCGCGUAGGCGGUAGUAUAAGAUAGGGGUGAAAUCCCAGAGCUCAACUCUGGAACUGCCCUUAUUACUGUAUAACUAGAGGCCGAGAGAGGGUAGCGGAAUAUCCAGUGUAGAGGUGAAAUUCGUAGAUAUUGGAUAGAACACCGGUGGCGAAGGCGGCUACCUGGCUCGGAACUGACGCUGAGGCGCGAAAGCGUGGGGAGCAAACAG